CGCCGCUCUCGCCGAUCCCUCCGCUCCCUCCAAGAAGCAACGCUGCUAUACCCGGCCUUGCCCUUAACAAACAUGGCGGCGGCGCGCCCUGCCCGCCCUUCCCAUGGUGGGGGCGGUGGUGACGGCGCGCGGUGAUGACGCACAAAGCGCGCGACGGCCGGGGCGGCGGGGCCCGGUAGGAGCGGGGCCGGUUCGGGGCCCGGUGGGGCUGAGGGAGCGGGACGGGCCCGGGCCGGGAGCGAGGGGAAGGAACGGCCCUGGGAGCACCGGGGGAGGCCGGGGGGUGGCGGGGAGGAGAGGCCUGGAGCGGCGGGCCAGGCCCGGGAGUCUCUUUUUGCCGCCCCUCCGGUGAGGCCCUGCCCCGGUGCCGCUCCCGGGCAGGCUCGGAGAGCGGGAGAAGGGAAUUUAGGCAAGGUGAAAAUGCAAGAAAAAAGGAUUUUAGGAUAGUUCCGAGGAUGUUCCAGGCAGGAGAAAGGAUUGAGUCCAUCCCAGGCCUUGAGUCCAUUCCCAAAGCUCGCGAAUGGAGCAGUGGUUUAUUUUCAAUUUAAUUGAAUUCAUCAUGAUCUGCCAUUAAAAUCAAAGGUUCCGGCCCAGAGCUCCCAAAGCUGCGAUUUCCCCCGUGUCUGGUUGAUUCCAGAGCUCCUGUUCCCCUUGGAUUUGGCUUUUCCCAGCGUGGAUAACAAUCCCAGGCCCUUUUUUGGGUUGAUAAAUCCAAAUUCAAGGAGUUUCCCCCCCUCCCUCUGGAUCCCCCUGGAUCAGGACAGAGGUGCCUCAAUCCCGGUUUUUCCUGGCUCGGGGUUUUUUUUUUGGACUUCAGGUGCUUUUUCCAUGGGUUGGGAGCAGAUCUGGGAUCGGCCAGGAUCUGGGGGAAAUCUGGGAAAUUUAUCCCAGGUUUAUCCUGGUGUGAGGGUGGGGUGAAUCAGGGGAGAUGAUCCCAGGCUUUUCCUCAGGUUGGGGGGGCCUUUCCCUCCUCCAAAUCCACAAAAUCGGGGAAGGGAAUGGAGAAUUCCUGGGAAAGGAAUGGAGAAUUCCCAGGGGAAACUGGGAAGGGGCUGGAGGAUUCCUGGGAAGAGAAUGGGGAAUUUUUGAGGGUUUGAGGGAUGCCCAAGAAAUUCCAGGGGGAGAACAGCAAGUCGGCGGCGGCGCGCGCCCGCAGGGCCGAGGCCAAGGCGGCGGCGGAGGCGCGGCGGCAGCAGGAGCUGGAGGAUGAGCUCUGGAAGGACGAGGACAAACACGUCCUGAGGAAGGAGCAGAGGAAGGUGGGGAUCCCCAAAAUCCUGGGACUAGGGAGAGGGGAGAGUCUGGGAUGAGGAAAAGGUUUGGGCAAGGGAGGAGGAGCACUGGGAAUGGCAGAGGAGGGAGAGCUCAGAGAGACGGAGGAGAGGAGGAACAACCCUGGGAAUGAGAGGAAAAACAGCUCUGAGAAUGAGGAACAGGAGGGAAAACUCUGGGAAUGAGGGAGAGGAGGAGGAGGAAGGGUGGGAAUGGCGGAGGUGCAGCAGGAGCUGGAGGAUGAGCUCUGGAAGGAUGAGGACAAACAACUCUGGGAAUGAGUGGGAAAACAAUCCUGGGAAUGAGGGAGAGGAGGAUAAAGUGUGGGAAUGAGAGGAAGGACAUUGAUCCAUGAAUGGAUCCAUCCAUGAAUCCAACCGUGGAUCUCUCCAUGAAGCAAUCCAUGGAUCCAUCCAUCAAUCAAUCCAUGGAUCUGUCAAUCAGUGGAUCCCUCCAUCAAUCAAUCCAUGGAUCCCUCCAUGGAUCCCUCCAUGGAUCCGUCCACAAAUCCGUGGGUCCAUGCAGAAACUCAUGGAUCC
ensembl:lncRNA